rnacentral:rRNA from 1 species
GAUGAACGCUGGCGGCGUGCCUAAUACAUGCAAGUCGAGCGAACGGACGAGAAGCUUGCUUCUCUGAUGUUAGCGGCGGACGGGUGAGUAACACGUGGAUAACCUACCUAUAAGACUGGGAUAACUUCGGGAAACCGGAGCUAAUACCGGAUAAUAUUUUGAACCGCAUGGUUCAAAAGUGAAAGACGGUCUUGCUGUCACUUAUAGAUGGAUCCGCGCUGCGUUAGCUAGUUGGUAAGGUAACGGCUUACCAAGGCAACGAUGCAUAGCCGACCUGAGAGGGUGAUCGGCCACACUGGAACUGAGACACGGUACAGACUCCUACGGGAGGCAGCAGUAGGGAAUCUUACGCAAUGGGCGAAAGCCUGACGGAGCAACGCCGCGUGAGUGAUGAAGGUCUUCGGCUCGUAAAACUCUGUUAUUAGGGAAGAACAUAUGUGUAAGUAACUGUGCACAUCUUGACGGUACCUAAUCAGAAAGCCACGGCUAACUACGUG